rnacentral:rRNA from 1 species
CGCCACGCCCGCUCAGAAACUACAAAGGAAGUGACGGGACCCCGCACAAGCGGUGGAUCAUGUUGUUUAAUUCGAUGAUACGCGAAGAACCUUACCAGGUCUUGACAUCCCCCGCGAUGCUUUAGAGAUAAAGCGGAGGUAUUCGGGGAGACAGGUGGUGCAUGGUUGUCGUCAGCUCGUGUCGUGAGAUGUUGGGUUAAGUCCCGCAACGAGCGCAACCCCUAUUGCUAGUUACCAUCAUUAAGUUGGGGACUCUAGCGAGACUGCCAGUGAUAAACUGGAGGAAGGUGGGGAUGACGUCAAAUCAUCAUGCCCCUUAUGACCUGGGCUACAAACGUGAUACAAUGGCUGGAACAAAGGGAUGCGAAGCAGUGAUGUGGAGCGAAACCCAUAAAAACAGUCUCAGUUCGGAUUGAAGUCUGCAACUCGACUUCAUGAAGUCGGAAUCGCUAGUAAUCGUGGAUCAGCAUGCCACGGUGAAUACGUUCCCGGGCCUU